GUGUUUUAUGAAAGGAGAGAGGGUUAGCACUCCUCUUGACAAGGAUGGAAGAGGUUCUCCGGCCUGACAACAUGCAUACGAUUAAGGCAUUGCCUACCUACUCUGUGGCAUCUAACCAAAUUUUUUU
ensembl:snRNA